GUAUUGCGUGAUGGAUCCCUGCUCGGGCAGCGACAUCAUAUCAUCCGCGCCUCUUCAUUUUUUGGGCGAGCACGUCCUCGCCCGCCGUCGGUUCUCCUGUGCUGGAUACCCGUAACGGGGCAUCGUGUCGGUUAAAUCGUCCCUCCGCCGCCCCGUGCUGCUGCUCCUCGUGGGCAAGCGGCACGGGCCGGYGCACAAAGCGCACGCCGCGCGUCCCAUCCCGUCGCCCCGUCAUAAGGGCGUCCGGGCUGACGACCCGCGGCUUGACGCUCGGUCUCUUGGGUGCGGAACGUCGUGUGGGUACGGGGCCUCGGCCUCGGAGCACCACGAACAAGCGUUCUACGCUUCGUGCGAACGACUGCCUGCUCGGCCUCCGGCCGGCCCUCGUGGCUCGGUUCGGAAUCGUGCCGGCGUCGGUGAGGAAUGCUACCU
rnacentral:misc_RNA from 1 species